UGUAGUGUAUAUGGGAAAAGUCUUUGCAGUGAUAGUAAAGCUAUAGAAAAGCAUAGAAGGGAAGUGAUAUACAGUGGGACUUAGAAAGAAUUUCAGCUGUUUCGUUCGUGUACGGAUCUCUAAGAGGAGUGGGAGUUGUUGAAUUGAAAUGGAAUACAUUACUAUCAAGACACGACAUUGCUUUAUGGUAUCCCAACGUAUGGAAAGUAUGUAAGAAGUUCAAUCGUCUAAAGAGGGUACAACAAAAAAAAGAAAAUCACGACGGCGACGUCAUUGUGGAGGCCGACGGGUGGUGGCUUGCGGCGACCCGUCUUCUUGUAG